GGGGGUAUAGUUCAGUGGUAGAGUGUGUGCUUAGCAUGCACGAGGUCCUGGGUUCAAUCCCCAGUACCUCCA
rnacentral:tRNA from 1 species